CCCUUAGAUGUUCUGGGCCGCACGCGCGCUACACUGAUGCAUUCAACGAGUCCAACCUUGACCGAGAGGUCCGGGUAAUCUUUGAAACUGCAUCGUGAUGGGGCUAGAUUAUUGCAAUUAUUAAUCUUCAACGAGGGAUGCCUAGUAAGCGUGAUUCAUCAAAUCGCGUUGAUUACGUCCCUGCCCUUUGUACACACCGCCCGUCGCUCCUACCGAUUGAGUGUGUUGGUGAGGAGUUUGGAUUGGCCUCGGAAGGUGGUUCGCCACCGUCCGUAGCUGAGAAGUUCUCCAAACCGCCCCACUUAGAGGAAGGAGAAGUCGUAACA
rnacentral:rRNA from 1 species